rnacentral:tRNA from 1 species
GAGAAAUUAGUUAAUUUAUAGCACUACCUUGUCAAGGUAGAGUGAUGGGCUAAAUCCCCAUAUUUCUCU